AUGGCUCAGAUUGAACGCUGGCGGCAGGCCUAACACAUGCAAGUCGAGCGGAUGAGAAGAGCUUGCUCUUCGAUUCAGCGGCGGACGGGUG
rnacentral:rRNA from 1 species